rnacentral:rRNA from 1 species
UACGGGGGGGGCAAGCGUUGUUCGGAAUUACUGGGCGUAAAGGGCUCGUAGGCGGCCAACUAAGUCAGACGUGAAAUCCCCAGGCUUAACCUGGGAACUGCGUCUGAUACUGGAUGGCUUGAAUCCGGGAGAGGGAUGCAGAAUUCCAGGUGUAGCGGUGAAAUGCGUAGAUAUCUGGAGGAAUACCGGUGGCGAAGGCGGCAUCCUGGACCGGCAUUGACGCUGAGGAGCGAAAGCUAGGGGAGCAAACGGG